AAAUGUUAGAAAUUGGAAGUGAUCAGUGAUCUUUUUUCCUUUCUCCCCAUUGCUCUGGUGCUGCUGGAAUUUCUUGAUGCAGUGGCAUAUUCGCUGGAAAGGUCAUGUUGUUCUCCAUUGAGAUUGGACAUCUUUGACGGGCGGCGGUGCACUAAGUCAUGUUGUCUGCUUACUCCAGGGGCUUGAAUGAGUCUUCAGCUAUUUAAGCAAGGUUCAAUCUGAAAGGCAUUGUAGUUAGGCACGAGGUUUGUGCACCCAGCUCAAGGUAUUGGAACGUGAAUUUUCCUAUAGGACAAUGGUGCCUAGGAUUUAUAACUCGAGGUAAGCAUGAACAAGACAACCACAGCUGAAAAGAACAACAAUACAAAAUAGUCUAUAUGGAUCCUGUUUUGUUUCAGAAUUUCACAAACACAUGUUGCCUAUAUGAAACAUGGUGAUGCUUAGAUUCUAUACAUGCUCACAUAGAAAUGAUCAGGUCAUUUUCAUUAUAAACUGCGAUUUUCUAUCUCUUCUUCAUUAUAGAAAUGCAAAUCCUACCAAGAAUGUCUUCUUUUUGCGGUUACUGUAGCAAAGCAAGCAAACUUACGAUACUGGCUUAUUUUUUUGAAAACAUAAUCCUAACUCUCCAACAUGAAUAAAAGAAAAUUUCUUACAUAUUAUUCAAUAGAUACCUUCCUGUUUUCCAAUUACCAUCUAUCAUGAACUUCAUCACAUAUAAUGCCUCAAAUUCUCAAAUGAACGGAAAACUCUGUUCACAUGUUAUGAAUGGUAGAAAUGACGCCUCUCUCUCU